rnacentral:rRNA from 1 species
CAGCCGCCACGGUAAUACGGAGGGGGCUAGCGUUGUUCGGAAUUACUGGGCGUAAAGCGCACGUAGGCGGCUUUGUAAGUUAGAGGUGAAAGCCCGGAGCUCAACUCCGGAAUUGCCUUUAAGACUGCAGAGCUAGCAGGUGAGAGAGGUGAGUGGAAUUCCGAGUGUAGAGGUGAAAUUCGUAGAUAUUCGGAAGAACACCAGUGGCGAAGGCGGCUUACUGGCUCAUACUGGACGCUGAGACGCGAAAGCGUGGGGAGCAAACAGGAUUAGAUACCCGGUAGUCCCUGUCUCUUAUACC